UACGAAGGGGGCUAGCGUUGCUCGGAAUCACUGGGCGUAAAGGGUGCGUAGGCGGGUCUUUAAGUCAGGGGUGAAAUCCUGGAGCUCAACUCCAGAACUGCCUUUGAUACUGAGGAUCUUGAGUUCGGGAGAGGUGAGUGGAACUGCGAGUGUAGAGGUGAAAUUCGUAGAUAUUCGCAAGAACACCAGUGGCGAAGGCGGCUUA
rnacentral:rRNA from 1 species